rnacentral:rRNA from 1 species
GACGAACGCUGGCGGCGUGCUGAACACAGGCAAGGCGAACGGAAAGGCCCUGCUUUGGUGGGGUGCUCGAGUGGCGAACGGGUGAGUAACACGUGAGUAACCUGCCCUUGACUUUGGGAUAACUUCAGGAAACUGGGGCUAAUACCGGAUAGGAGCUCCUGCUGCAUGGUGGGGGUUGGAAAGUUUCGGCGAUUGGGGAUGGACUCGCGGCUUAUCAGCUUGUUGGUGGGGUAGUGGCUUACCAAGGCUUUGACGGGUAGCCGGCCUGAGAGGGUGACCGGCCACGUUGGGGCUGCUCUACGUCCCAGACUCCUACGGGCGGCAGCAGUGGGGGAUAUUGCACAAUGGGCGGAAGCCUGAUGCAGCAACGCCGCGUGCGGGAUGACGGCCUUCGGGUUGUAGACCUCUUUCGCCUGUGACGAAGCGUGAGUGACGGUCAUGGGUCCUGCACCACCGCCUCACUACGUG